CUAGUCAAGUAUGGAUAUUGUUGAUAGGUGACAAGCAUCAAACACAUUAACAGAAUGAAAGUACUAGGAAUAUAAGAGGGGGGAAAACCCUAAAAGCCAAUUUCCUUUCCGUUUUUCUUUUCUAAACCUUAUACGGUUCCUUCCACUUUCCAGAUAAAUAAGUACUGAGAUCGAUCGUGGCUGGAAGGCUUCAACUUGAUUGAGUCCGUCCAUUACUAGAAUUUGGAAUUGUGGAUGGGAGUCAAGGAUGGUGAGCUCAACUUAACCUUUCUCAUAUGGUGUGGUGCAGAGAGAUUCGAACUUCAGUCAAGAUGUCAGAGUCACCAACCCACUCAAUAACUGUCCAAUGAUGACCACAAUUAUUUUAGCAUGGGGUUAAGAUUCACCAAGGGUCAGUCAAUGGCAUGAGAAUGGAUCCAUAAGUGCAACUGCCAGGUGGUGGCGCUUUGCAGUGUGCACCUUGUACUGGAUUUGGAUUUUCAGGGCAUGAUUUUGAACUUGCGGAGGAAAAAUGAAAAAAACCCCCUUCACAGAAUUGUCCUUUUUCUUCAAGAAAUUAUUGGUAUGGGACCCUUUACUUUGAACCAAAAAGAUCUACUUCCUUUCCUUUUCUUUUUUGUAUAUGAUGCGCAUGCACAUGGUUAGAUCCUUUGGCAUGCAAAAGAUAUAUUGCUGCCUUCUUUGUAUGCAUUUCACACUCAGCAAUGGAUUUGAGUCAAUGAUUGAAAAACA